GUCAGUGUGUUCUGUAGGUGAAGGAAGGUAUCAGAUGAGGUCAGUGUGUUCUGUAGAUGAAGGAAGGUAUCAGAUGAGAUCAGUGUGUUCUGUAGAUGAAGGAAGGUAUCAGAUGAGGUCAGUGUGUUCUGUAGAUGAAGGAAGGUAUCAGAUGAGGUCAGUGUGUUCUGUAGAUGAAGGAAGGUAUCAGAUGAGGUCAGUGUGUUCUGUAGAUGAAGGAUGAUAUCAGAUGAGGUCAGUGUGUUCUGUAGAUGAAGGAAGGUAUCAGAUGAGAUCAGUGUGUUCUGUAGAUGAAGGAAGGUAUCAGAUGAGAUCAGUGUGUUCUGUAGAUGAAGGAUGAUAUCAGAUGAGAUCAGUCUGUCUUGUAAAGGAAGGUAUCAGAUGAGGUCAGUGUGUUCUGUAGAUGAAGGAAGGUAUCAGAUGAGGUCAGUGUGUUCUGUAGAUGAAGGUAUCAGAUGAGGUCAGUGUGUUCUGUAGAUGAAGGAAGGUAUCAGAUGAGGUCAGUGUGUUCUGUAGAUGAAGGAAGGUAUCAGAUGAGGUCAGUGUGUUCUGUAGAUGAAGGAAGGUAUCAGAUGAGGUCAGUGUGUUCUGUAGAUGAAGGAUGGUAUCAGAUGAGGUCAGUGUGUUCUGUAGAUGAAGGAUGGUAUCAGAUGAGGUCAGUGUGUUCUGUAGAUGAAGGAAGGUAUCAGAUGAGGUCAGUGUGUUCUGUAGAUGAAGGAAGGUAUCAGAUGAGGUCAGUGUGUUCUGUAGAUGAAGGAUGGUAUCAGAUGAGAUCAGUCUGUCUUGUAAAGGAAGGUAUCAGAUGAGGUCAGUGUGUCCUGUAGAUGAAGGAUGAUAUCAGAUGAGAUCAGUCUGUCUUGUAAAGGAAGGUAUCAGAUGAGGUCAGUGUGUUCUGUAGAUGAAGGAAGGUAUCAGAUGAGGUCAGUCUGUCUUGUAAAGGAAGGUAUCAGAUGAGGUCAGUGUGUUCUGUAGAUGAAGGAAGGUAUCAGAUGAGGUCAGUGUGUUCUGUAGAUGAAGGAUGGUAUCAGAUGAGGUCAGUGUGUUCUGUAGAUGAAGGAAGGUAUCAGAUGAGGUCAGUGUGUUCUGUAGAUGAAGGAAGGUAUCAGAUGAGAUCAGUGUGUCUUGUAAAGGAAGGUAUCAGAUGAGGUCAGUCUGUUCUGUAGAUGAAGGUAUCAGAUGAGGUCAGUCUGUCUUGUAAAGGAAGGUAUCAGAUGAGGUCAGUGUGUUCUGUAGAUGAAGGAUGGUAUCAGAUGAGGUCAGUGUGUUCUGUAGAUGAAGGAAGGUAUCAGAUGAGGUCAGUGUGUUCUGUAGAUGAAGGAAGGUAUCAGAUGAGGUCAGUGUGUUCUGUAGAUGAAGGAAGGUAUCAGAUGAGGUCAGUGUGUUCUGUAGAUGAAGGAAGGUAUCAGAUGAGAUCAGUGUGUUCUGUAGAUGAAGGAAGGUAUCAGAUGAGGUCAGUGUGUUCUGUAGAUGAAGGAAGGUAUCAGAUGAGGUCAGUGUGUUCUGUAGAUGAAGGAAGGUAUCAGAUGAGGUCAGUGUGUUCUGUAGAUGAAGGAUGGUAUCAGAUGAGGUCAGUGUUUUCUGUAGAUGAAGGAUGGUAUCAGAUGAGAUCAGUGUGUUCUGUAGAUGAAGGAAGGUAUCAGAUGAGGUCAGUGUGUUCUGUAGAUGAAGGAUGGUAUCAGAGGAGGUCAGUGUGUUCUGUAGAUGAAGGAUGGUAUCAGAUGAGGUCAGUGUGUUCUGUAGAUGAAGGAAGGUAUCAGAUGAGGUCAGUGUGUUCUGUAGAUGAAGGAAGGUAUCAGAUGAGGUCAGUGUGUUCUGUAGAUGAAGGAAGGUAUCAGAUGAGGUCAGUGUGUUCUGUAGAUGAAGGAAGGUAUCAGAUGAGGUCAGUGUGUUCUGUAGAUGAAGGAUGAUAUCAGAUGAGGUCAGUGUGUUCUGUAGAUGAAGGAUGGUAUCAGAUGAGGUCAGUGUGUUCUGUAGAUGAAGGAGAGCACCCUGCUGCUAAGCAACCCUGUAUGUCUGACUGUUCUGAUAACUAACUCCCUGCUUCUCAGCAACCCUGUAUGUCUGACUGUUCUGAUAACUACCUCCCUGCUGCUAAGCAACCCUGUAUGUCUGACUGUUCUGAUGACUAACUCCCUGCUGCUAAGCAACCCUGUAUGUCUGACUGUUCUGAUAACUAACUCCCUGCUGCUAAGCAACCCUGUAUGUCUGACUGUUCUGAUAACUAACUCCCUGCUGCUAAGCAACCCUGUAUGUCUGACUGUUCUGAUAACUAACUCCCUGCUGCUCAGCAACCCUGUAUGUCUGACUGUUCUGAUAACUAACUCCCUGCUGCUAAGCAACCCUGUAUGUCUGACUGUUCUGAUAACUACCUCCCUGCUGCUAAGCAACCCUGUAUGUCUAACUGUUCUGAUAACUAACUCCCUGCUGCUAAGCAACCCUGUAUGUCUGACUGUUCUGAUAACUAACUCCCUGCUGCUAAGCAACCCUGUAUGUCUGACUGUUCUGAUAACUAACUCCCUGCUGCUAAGCAACCCUGUAUGUCUAACUGUUCUGAUAACUAACUCCCUGCUGCUCAGCAACCCUGUAUGUCUGACUGUUCUGAUAACUAACUCCCUGCUGCUAAGCAACCCUGUAUGUCUAACUGUUCUGAUAACUAACUCCCUGCUGCUAAGCAACCCUGUAUGUCUGACUGUUCUGAUAACUAACUCCCUGCUGCUAAGCAACCGUGUAUGUCUGACUGUUCUGAUAACUAACUCCCUGCUGCUAAGCAACCCUGUAUGUCUGACAUCUAACU